rnacentral:rRNA from 1 species
GUAGGUGGCAAGCGUUGUCCGGAAUUAUUGGGCGUAAAGCGCGCGCAGGUGGUUCCUUAAGUCUGAUGUGAAAGCCCCCCGGGCUCAACCGGGGAGGGUCAUUGGAAACUGGGGAACUUGAGUGCAGGAGAGGAAAGUGGAAUUCCACGUGUAGCGGUGAAAUGCGUAGAUAUGUGGAGGAACACCAGUGGCGAAGGCGACUUUCUGGCCUGUAACUGACACUGAGGCGCGAAAGCGUGGGGAGCAAACAGGAUUAGAUACCCUGGUAGUCCACGCCGUAAACGAUGAGUGCUAAGUGUUGGGGGGUUUCCGCCCCGUCAGUGCUGCAGCUAACGCAUUAAGCACUCCGCCUGGGGAGUACGGUCGCAAAGACUG